GAACCCGGGAACUGCUCUCCAGGGCUCUGGAGCCGAGAUGGCCGUGUUUGGGGGCACACCAGCACCACCUCCCCCGCCACCUCUUUGGAAUAGACCCCAGAUCAUCCCCGUUUGCUCGCUCUGCCUCCUGGUACCAUCAUUAUCUGGGGGUGCCCGGGACCCUUAGUUUGAUAACUCCGCUGACCUCUCCCCAGGCGUCCUACCUCCCCCUUACCCCGCAACCUCUGCCACCUAGCCUGGUGGCCCUGUUGCACCUCUAGUUCUCUGGAGAGGCUUGUGUUUCCUGUCUGUCUUAGGUAUGGGCUGCACCGAGCCCGAAAGGCCCAUCACCGCCCCAGCCGAGCCAAAAGUGCUGUGCUUUUUGUGCAACUGAAGCUGGAAGCCGGCUGGUCAAAGAAAAUCUUCAGGUCUUUCUCACAAGUCACUGCCGCCGUGAAGCCAGGCGUCGUCCACAUUUUGCUUGUGAAGUUGACUCUUGGAACCCAAGAGGUUGUGGUUGGCCUCCUCUUGCCAUGCUGAGUGAAUUGCAGGCUCUUCCUUCCUGGCUGCUGGAUUCCCUCAGGUGCCGACUGUCUUUCUGCCUUCUUGCAGCCCUAAUCAUCUCCAAGGCUCAGAUCCAGCUGACAAAUUGGCUGCACGUCUGUGUGUCCCAGGAGAGAGCUCUCUGCUCAUUCUGCUGUUCUGCAACCCAGUCUCCCAGCCUUGGGGCAGGGAGGGAGUCUGCAGGGCCUCCCAGGACCACCCAAAGCUGCUGGCUCUGCCUCUCUUGUGUAUCCCUGUGCCAAGUUCGCUCUUGGAGCCUUGGAGGUCUCGUUCUUACCCAGGGCUCUCUCUGCUGCGGGUCCCUACUGUCUGUCCCAGAGGGAGACUAAGUCCUAAGCCAGCCCUAUCAGGACAAAGGCCCUGUCCAACCCACCAGGCCUGGCUGCUGGCUGACCCAGGAGCUCUGCUGCGGGAGCCCAUUGGAGAUUGGAAAGGAGGGCAGCAGGGUGGUCAGCCUGCCUACACCCUGGAGGUUUAAUUAAAGAGAAGUUCUUGGGUUUCAUGAUAUUGAAGAGAUGACUGGGAUCAAUUACCUUGCAAAAGUCUAUGAAGAUGCAUCUAGCAUGCAUAGAAAAUUGAGUGACAUUGAAGGAGUUCUGAGGAAUUCUGCACAUCUUUUGGUUCUGGUAAUUAUAGCAUUUUGUGAGGAAAAGAAUGAACCUUAAAUGCUC